UACGAAGGGGGCUAGCGUUGCUCGGAAUCACUGGGCGUAAAGGGUGCGUAGGCGGGUCUUUAAGUCAGGGGUGAAAUCCUGGAGCCCAACUCCAGAACUGCCUUUGAUACUGAGGAUCUUGAGUUCGGGAGAGGUGAGUGGAACUGCGAGUGUAGAGGUGAAAUUCGUAGAUAUUCGCAAGAACACCAGUGGCGAAGGCGGCUCACUGGCCCGAUACUGACGCUGAGGCACGAAAAGCGUGGGGGAGCAAACAGG
rnacentral:rRNA from 1 species